rnacentral:rRNA from 1 species
GACGAACGCUGGCGGCGUGCUUAACACAUGCAAGUCGAACGAAGAGCGAUGGAAGCUUGCUUCUAUCAAUCUUAGUGGCGAACGGGUGAGUAACGCGUAAUCAACCUGCCCUUCAGAGGGGGACAACAGUUGGAAACGACUGCUAAUACCGCAUACGAUCUGACCUCGGCAUCGAGGAUAGAUGAAAGGUGGCCUCUAUUUAUAAGCUAUCACUGAAGGAGGGGAUUGCGUCUGAUUAGCUAGUUGGAGGGGUAACGGCCCACCAAGGCGAUGAUCAGUAGCCGGUCUGAGAGGAUGAACGGCCACAUUGGGACUGAGACACGGCCCAGACUCCUACGGGAGGCAGCAGUGGGGAAUCUUCCGCAAUGGACGAAAGUCUGACGGAGCAACGCCGCGUGAGUGAUGACGGCCUUCGGGUUGUAAAGCUCUGUUAAUCGGGACGAAAGGCCUUCUUGCGAAUAGUUAGAAGGAUAGACGGACCGG